UAGAGAGACGACGAAAGAACAAACCCUAGCUUCAUAGUUUCUGGAGAACCAAUUUGAAUCAGUGUUGAGAGGGUGGCGAAGUGAUGAAUCGGAAGGUAUGAUUCCGUUUUUGUUAUAAGUUAUAUAACAGUUUAGUUGAUUAAGUAUGAAGAUCUAUUAUAGUUGAUUAAGUAUGAAGAUCUAUUAUAGUUGAUCGCAGAUCUAGUGUUGUUUAUCAGAAAUCCAAUCUUGUUUAUCGGAAAUCCAGAUCUAGUGUUGUUUUACCUGUAAUCCGCUCUAGUAAUCUGAGAUCCAUAGAUUUAUGGAUUUUUGUUUGAAAUCGAAAGAAUUACUAAUUUUUUUGUAUCGUCUUCUUUAAGUGAGUUAAUAUUCCUGUUUUCGUCGUAGCUGGGAAGUGGAAAUCUACGACAGAAAGCAAGUGGGAUUUUAUAAUAGAAAAUGAUUGCUUCGCAAGGAGCAUUUGUACAUGUGCUGAGAUGACUUUUACUGAAUUACAAAGUUAUAUAGCUUCAUUGUUUCACUUUGAUGCGAAGACCUGGAAACAAAACUUGAGUUAUUGGCUUCCAAAGCAGAGGUCAAUCUUUUCUGCACGGAAAAGGCCUCCAGUCUGUUUGAAUAACACCAUGGCGUUGAAGAGCUUCAUGAUGGUUAAGGAAAUGGAGCCACGUUUAAACUUGUGCCUCUCCUUUGAGGCCAUGCAGGAUGAUGAACCCUAGAAACAACUUGUUUGUGAGCUUGGGGAAAGUUCUAACAAUGGCAAAGACGACGCAACCAUCCUUGAAAAUGUACUUACUGAGUUCAGAAUUGUUAAGGAUAAUGACUGCACCAACCAACUAGAACUUGAUCUUAUGUAAUAGGUAAGCUCCAAAAGGCCACUUAUUACUAGAACUAUCAUAGAUGAGCUUAAGUAUUUAAGAAGCGAACAUGUAGGCUCAUAGAAGGGCUCGAGUUUAGAUACUUAGGUGAACCAAUCAAACCUGAUAUUAAUGCAUGUUUAUGAUUAGAGAUUUGUGGGCUAGCGUCGUAAUCCUUAGUUAUUAGGCAUAGUUAGUAAUGUGGACUAGUGUUGGUUGCUUUACUUUAGUGAUCUGAGUUCUAGAACGGUUCGAUAACAAUCCUAAUCAUAAUUAAAUCUACUAGUUAUCUAAUUUUUGAGAAUAUCUCUAGACUUGACGCUUUUCUCCCUCUGAUUUACAACUUGAUAUUUAAUGCUUUCUUGUCUUUUUAUCUAUAAUCUCUUGGUUUAGCUUAACUCGAAACCUUUGUCUAUUAUGUGAUUGCAUUGCAAGAAAACAUGUGAUAUUCCAACAAAUGCUUUCAAUAAUCGUAUUUUGUUAAAAGUUUCUUACCGAUAUCCUAUAAAAUUG